UACGUAGGGUGCGAGCGUUGUCCGGAAUUACUGGGCGUAAAGGGCGCGUAGGCGGCCCUUCUAAGUCAGACGUGAAAUCCCCCGGCUUAACCUGGGAACUGCGUCUGAUACUGGGAGGCUUGAGUAUGGGAGAGGGAUGUAGAAUUCCAGGUGUAGCGGUGAAAUGCGUAGAUAUCUGGAGGAAUACCGGUGGCGAAGGCGGCAUCCUGGACCAUAACUGACGCUGAGGCGCGAAAGCUAGGGGAGCAAACGGG
rnacentral:rRNA from 1 species